rnacentral:rRNA from 1 species
UUGACCUCAAAUCAGGUAGGACUACCCGCUGAACUUAAGCAUAUCAAUAAGCGGAGGAAAAGAAACUAACAAGGAUUCCCCUAGUAACUGCGAGUGAAGCGGGAAAAGCUCAAAUUUAAAAUCUGGCAGUCUUUUAGCUGUCCGAGUUGUAAUCUAGAGAAGUGCUUUCCGCGUUGGACCGUGUACAAGUCUCUUGGAACAGAGCGUCAUAGAGGGUGAGAAUCCCGUCUUUGACACGGACUACCAGUGCUUUUGUGAUGUGCUCUC